GCUUUUGGGAUGCAUUUUGUGCGGUUAUGUCUGCCUCCAAAACCCAUCACUGGGCAAAGUGUGUCUCAAAAU
rnacentral:pre_miRNA from 11 species